CUGCUGUAGGUGGCACUGGACUGACACGGAGGAUGUGUGCGCUUCCAGCAGCGCUCACGAAGCCUCGCCCUUCGGCACAGGGCACCUGAGCCGAGUGCCGCGGGUGCUGCUGAGGAGCAGGGACAUCGGGACAUUUGCACCGUUCUGCCUGUUCCUGAAACAGCCACAAUCAAUCCCUCCGAUCCCCCGCAGCUCAUUCUUAUCCAGCGUUUUGCUUUCUGGAGACUGUUGGCUUUUGAAAGCACAGCAUCAAUGACAGUGUUACACCACGCUGCUGCCAGGUAUGUGAGAUGUUCUGCCUUUCCUCAGAGACCAUGGUGCCGCUCAGACCGAGAGGAGAACAUGACAGCUCGGCAGCCUUCGUGUGCAUUACAAGUUGUACCCAUGCAGUAGCACACAGAAGAUGUCACAGCAAAUGCAGCCUGGAUUGAAGAUGACAGGCUGGGAGAUAAUUACCUGUAGCACGGGCUCAUGUAUGAAAAAGCUCCGGGUGUGGCAGUAUUUCAUCCACAGCCUUCUGCCCAGCAGUUUGCAGUUUAAAGGUCUCUGGAGCCUUCUCCAUAUCAAUGUUGCCUUCAAGUCUGCAUCAUUUUCAUUCCAAAGCCAGCUGGAAUUUAGAGUAGUGUCCUGUCUCCCUGAAAGUGGGGAGUUUCAAUCCAAAUGUAAGCUCAAAACCUUCCCCAGCAGAGAUGCUGUGACAUCUGUACAGCUGCCCUAGCAAUAAAAGCAAGUGUCCAUGCAGGCAACAGGGCAGGCAGGGCUUUAGAGCUCACAGAUUUGCAAUACCCACAGCUCUCCCCACGGUAGCACCAGGUCUCCUUGGCCACUGCCUUCCUUUCCCCACCCUCCAGGUGUCACACACAUGCACACAGACCCACCGCUCGCUUCUGUGCGCUCCUGUCCCCAGGACACCCGAGCAAAGGCAGCAAAGCAAGGAGCUCCGGACACAGCACAGGAUCCCGGCGGAGGGGAGGAGCAUCGUCCAUCCCGCUGCUCCUGUGCUGCUCCGCUCCCCAUUUCCCACAACCUGCCCCAAAUUGCACUGCGUGGAAUUUCUCCUGGGAUGGAGGACUGAUGAUGCCUGAAGUACAAGUGCUGGAGGCUGGAGGGAAGCCAGGGUUAAUAAAUAUUCAUUCUCAGGCAGCAAGCUGCUCAAACGCUU